GGGGAAUGAGCUCUGGGCUCGCUCUAGAAGAGACCUCUUUAGACCUUGGUCUCCUCCCUGUGCCACCUCUUGUCUGAGCUGAGGCAUCCUCCCAUGGAGAAAGGAGCUGCAAAAUCACUGGUCAAUCUGUUCUCCUUCAUGCUUUGUCUAUCCUUGCUAAGAGAGGGGGUGAGACCCUCCCCCCACAAGUCAUGACUUAGGUAAACCACAGGAUCAUUUUCUUAUGGUGGCUUUAAAAAAGGAAGGUUUUACCUUCCUUUGCUUCAGCCUUUCAGUAAUCCUUUGAGAUUCUACAUGUGUUUGUGACCAUCCCUGAGCCCCGAGCUGGAAUUUUUAAAGCACUACCAGCAUCAACCCCAAGCAAAAUAAUAGAUGAGAUGAGAGCAGAAGGAAGCACCAUGUGCUCAGAGUAGAGAGCUGCAUGUGCAGAGAAAAAGCUUCUGGAUAAGGCAAAAAGUUUUGCCUUGGGAUUUUGACCCUCACUCCAGGUGAGGUGGAAGAAACUCAGUUCCUUGCAGAUCCUUGCAGAGUAAAUGAUGAAAGUGAGCAGCGAAGGCGCAGUUUUGCUGAGAUUGAAAUCAACCAGGAAUUUCUUCCAGGCUUUGUGAAGUCCUCUUUGUUAGAAUGAAAUGCAGAAGAGCCAGAUGGUUUGGCCACAGUCCAGUUACCUAAGAAACAUAGCACCAGCACCCUAUCUGAAACUAUUUCCUCUAAAGAUCACGCUCGGCCUGCUUUGUUCUAAUAACCGGCUUAAAAGUCAACAUUGAGCUGUCAGUACCUAUUUUUUCCUCCAUAAUUAAUCUACAAAGUUCAACCUGGAAUCAAUAAAAAUGACCUCAUGGCUUU